rnacentral:rRNA from 1 species
AUCGACGGCAGUGUUUGGCACCUCGAUGUCGGCUCAUCUCAUCCUGGGGCUGGAGCAGGUCCCAAGGGUACGGCUGUUCGCCGUUUAAAGAGGUACGUGAGCUGGGUUUAGAACGUCGUGAGACAGUUCGGUCCCUAUCUGCCGUGGGUGUAGGAUACUUGAGAGGAGUUGCCCCUAGUACGAGAGGACCGGGGUGAACGAUCCACUGGUGGACCUGUUGUUGCGCCAGCAGCAGUGCAGGGUAGCUAUGAUCGGACAGGAUAACCGCUGAAGGCAUCUAAGCGGGAAGCCCCCCUCAAAACAAGGUAUCCCUGAGAGCCGUGGAAGACCACCACGUCGAUAGGCCGGAGAUGUAAGCGCAGUAAUGCGUUCAGUUGACCGGUACUAAUGGCUCGAUAGGCUUGAU